AACGAACGCUGGCGGCAUGCCUAACACAUGCAAGUCGAACGAGACCUUCGGGUCUAGUGGCGCACGGGUGCGUAACGCGUGGGAACCUGCCCUUAGGUUCGGAAUAACUCCCCGAAAGGGGUGCUAAUACCGGAUAAUGUCUUCGGACCAAAGAUUUAUCGCCUUUGGAUGGGCCCGCGUUGGAUUAGCUAGUUGGUAGGGUAAAAGCCUACCAAGGCGACGAUCCAUAGCUGGUCUGAGAGGAUGAUCAGCCACACUGGGACUGAGACACGGCCCAGACUCCUACGGGAGGCAGCAGUGGGGAAUAUUGGACAAUGGGCGAAAGCCUGAUCCAGCAAUGCCGCGUGAGUGAUGAAGGCCUUAGGGUUGUAAAGCUCUUUUACCCGGGAUGAUAAUGACAGCACCGGGAGAAUAAGCGCCGGCUAACUCCGU
rnacentral:rRNA from 1 species